rnacentral:rRNA from 1 species
UACGGGGGGGGCAAGCGUUGUUCGGAAUUACUGGGCGUAAAGGGCUCGUAGGCGGCCAACUAAGUCGGACGUGAAAUCCCCAGGCUCAACCUGGGAACUGCGUCUGAUACUGGGAGGCUUGAAUGCGGGAGAGGGAUGUGGAAUUCCAGGUGUAGCGGUGAAAUGCGUAGAUAUCUGGAGGAACACCGGUGGCGAAGGCGGCAUCCUGGACCGGUAUUGACGCUGAGGCGCGAAAGCCAGGGGAGCAAACGGG